CAUAGGUUAAUGAGGCGAACCGGGGGAACUGAAACAUCUAAGUACCCCGAGGAAAAGAAAUCAACCGAGAUUCCCCCAGUAGCGGCGAGCGAACGGGGAGGAGCCCAGAGCCUGAAUCAGUGUGUGUGUUAGUGGAAGCGUCUGGAAAGGCGCGCGAUACAGGGUGACAGCCCCGUACACAAAAAUGCACAUAUUGUGAGCUCGAUGAGUAGGGCGGGACACGUGGUAUCCUGUCUGAAUAUGGGGGGACCAUCCUCCAAGGCUAAAUACUCCUGACUGACCGAUAGUGAACCAGUACCGUGAGGGAAAGGCGAAAAGAACCCCGGCGAGGGGAGUGAAAAAGAACCUGAAACCGUGUACGUACAAGCAGUGGGAGCCUCUUAAUGGGGUGACUGCGUACCUUUUGUAUAAUGGGUCAGCGACUUAUAUUCUGUAGCAAGGUUAACCGAAUAGGGGAGCCGAAGGGAAACCGAGUCUUAACUGGGCGUUAAGUUGCAGGGUAUAGACCCGAAACCCGGUGAUCUAGCCAUGGGCAGGUUGAAGGU
rnacentral:rRNA from 1 species